UACGUAGGGGGCAAGCGUUGUCCGGAUUUAUUGGGCGUAAAGAGCGUGUAGGCGGCUUUACAGGUCCGUUGUGAAAACUCGAGGCUCAACCUCGAGACGCCGGUGGAAACCGUAAGGCUAGAGUCCGGAAGAGGAGAGUGGAAUUCCUGGUGUAGCGGUGAAAUGCGCAGAUAUCGGGGAGGAACACCAGAGGCGAAGGCGGCUCACUGGCCCGGUACUGACGCUGAGGUGCGAAAGCGUGGGGAGCAACAGG
rnacentral:rRNA from 1 species